rnacentral:piRNA from 1 species
UACAUUUGUUGGAUGGAGCAGAGCCC